rnacentral:rRNA from 1 species
AUUGAACGCUGGCGGCAUGCCUAACACAUGCAAGUCGAACGAGUGGCGGACGGGUGAGUAAUGUCUGGGAAACUGCCCGAUGGAGGGGGUUAACUACUGGAAACGGUAGCUAAUACCGCAUACCAUCGGAUGUGCCCAGAUGGGAUUAGCUAGUAGGUGGGGUAACGGCUCACCAAGGCAACGAUCCCUAGCUGGUCUGAGAGGAUGACCAGCCACACUGGAACUGAGACACGGUCCAGACUCCUACGGGAGGCAGCAGUGGGGAAUAUUGCGCAAUGGGCGCAAGCCUGAUGCAGCAAUGCCGCGUGUGUGAAGAAGGCCUUCGGGUUGUAAAGUACUGUCAGCGGGGAGGCGUUACCCGCACAGGAAGCACCGGCUAACUCCGUGCCAGCAGCCGCGGUAAUAC